GCUCAAUGUCACUAGUUCAAAGAGCUAUCACGAGACAUAAGCCGUCCACACAGUGCGAGGAUCUAACGCAGAAAUGUAAUUUAUUUCAAAAUUGAUCGUCGGUACUCAUAUAUAACUAUUCCUCGAUCUAACGAACAGAGGAACGGGAGUAUGGACACUAGGAGUAUUAGAGAAAGGCCUGGAGAAAGGACAACACGAAAAACUGGCAGUACGAGAAUUAACGAACAUACUUCGCGGAGCAUCUAAAUGCAAUGUAUCACCAAAGUAUUCGAACGUUCACAGCUCGUUUCAUUAUAAAAAAUGUAUAUUAUGAUAGAUGUACGUAAUGUAGCAAAUAAAAAAGUGAUAUACUAAUAAUUGUUUAUCCUGAUA